CAAAGAGCCCCCGAAGCGAAAAAAAUCCCUCUUUCUUGUUGUCUCCCUUUCUCUCUCUCCCUGAAUCGCUGCCAUGGAAGCGAUACUGGUAGACUGUGUAAACAACAGUCUCCGUCAUUUCAUGCACCGAAACGCCAUUUUUAUGUGCGAGCGUCUAUGUGCCGAGUUCCCUUCUGAGACAAAUUUACAGUUAUUAGCUGGAUGUUAUUUGCAAAAUAAUCAAGCUUACUCAGCAUAUCAUAUUCUAAAAGGCACACAAAUGGCUCAAUCCCGCUACUUGUUUGCGAUAUCAUGCUUUCAGAUGGACAUUCUAAAUGAAGCUGAAGCAGUACUUUGUCCUGCUAAUGAGCCUAAUGCAGAGGUUCCAAAUGGUGCAGCUGGGCAUUACCUGCUUGGGCUUAUCCAUAGGUGUACUGAUAGAAGGAAAAGUGCCAUUCAGCACUUCAAGCAGGCUUUGGCUAUAGAUCCUUUACUCUGGGCUGCAUAUGAGGAGCUGUGCAUAUUAGGUGCUGCUGAAGAGACAACUGCAUUUUUUGGUGAGGCCGCUGCACUUUGCAUUCAAAAGCAGUAUGUAAACAAUGCAUUAGCUUCGCAAAAUAUGCAUAUGUCCAAUGAGGAUCGCAAUUUACUCUCCACUAGAAACUUUAGCUCAGAAGAUGUUAGUCCAAGGCAGUUGAAGCAUGCUCAAGGCAAUAACCUUAGAGAUAUUCCUGGAGCUGCACCAUUAGGAGGACCUGUCAAUCAACCUAGUAAUGGGGGUCCUCCAAACUUAUCAUUUUAUAAUACUCCUUCACCAAUGACCACACAGUUGUCAGGUGUUGCCCCGCCACCUUUGUGUCGAAAUGCACAGCCAAAUAAUCCUAAUACUAGCAUAAUUGGUAUUGAUAACUCCCCGAAGUCAAUUGUGAACUCCAAUAUUCAAGCCCCUCGAAGAAAAUUUGUUGAUGAAGGGAAAUUACGGAAGAUUUCUGGGAGGUUGUUCUCUGAUUCUGGCCCUAGACGAAGUACAAGACUUGCAGCUGAAGCAGGAACCAACUCAAAUGCUAGUGCCACAUUGGUGGCAGCGAAUGGAAUUAGCAACUCUUCUAAGCAUCUUGGUGGUUCUAAAUUGAGCUCUAUUGCUCUAAGGUCUGUGACAAUUCGUAAAGGACAGUCAUGGGGCAAUGAAAAUUGUGAUGAAGGAAUACGCAACGAGACGUUUGAUGAUUCGAAUGCAAAUAUUGCAACAACAAAUUCUACCUCCUCACCCCCUGGUGAUGCUAGAUCUCUUGAAACUGAAGCAGCAUCUAUACCAAUUGGUGGAGUUGUCAUGAGUGCCUCAAGAGUUUUAAGUGGUGCUUUAGAAAUAUUAGGCCUCUUGAGAGUUCUUGGAGAUGGCUACAGACUUUCUUGCUUGUACAGGUGCCAGGAUGCGCUGGAUAUCUAUAUGAAACUACCGCACAAGCACUAUAACACAGGCUGGGUUCUUUCCCAGGUUGGGAAAGCAUAUUUUGAAUUAGUAGAUUACUUGGAAGCUGCUAGAGUUUUCAGUCUUUCCCGUCGAGCAUCGCCUUACAGUUUAGAAGGAUUGGAUAUAUAUUCAACUGUUCUAUAUCAUUUGAAGGAAGACAUGCAGUUAAGUUACUUGGCUCAAGAAUUGAUAUCAACUGAUCGCUUAGCUCCACAAUCAUGGUGUGCUAUGGGAAAUUGCUAUAGCUUGCAAAAAGAUCACGAAACUGCUCUAAAAAAUUUUCAGCGUGCUGUGCAGCUUAAUUCAAGAUUUGCAUAUGCACACACUCUUUGUGGUCAUGAAUAUGUAGCUUUGGAGGAUUUUGAGAAUGGAAUUAAGAGUUACCAGAGUGCUCUACGGAUUGAUGCUAGACAUUAUAACUCAUGGUAUGGCCUUGGGAUGGUUUAUCUUCGGCAAGAGAAGUUUGAGUUUUCUGAGCAUCACUUCCGGAUGGCUUUUCGAAUAAAUCCAUGUUCUUCUGUUAUAAUGUCUUAUCUUGGGACAGCUUUGCAUGCCUUAAAGGUCAAGCCACUUGAAAAACGAGGAAGCUCUAGAGAUGAUGGAGAGGGCAAUUUUAGCUGAUAAGAAGAAUCCUCUUCCCAUGUAUCAAAAGGCUAAUAUACUUGUGAGCUUGGAAAGUUUUGAUGAAGCUCUUGAAGUACUAGAAGAGCUCAAAGAGUAUGCCCCACGUGAAAGCAGCGUGUAUGCUUUGAUGGGUAAGAUCUAUAAGAGGCGUAACAUGCAUGAGAAGGCAAUGCUUCAUUUUGGUCUUGCUUUGGAUUUGAAACCAUCUGCAACUGAUGUUGCUACAAUUAAGGCUGCUAUUGAAAAGCUUCAUGUACCGGAUGAAAUCGAAGACAACUUAUAGAUAUUUUAGAUUUGGAAAUACGGAAAAGGGGAGAAUGAAACAUUUUCUGGCUCAGAAGCUUUUGGUCCCAAGGAUAGCCCUUGCUUGAGCUUUCGACCAGUUGUGAGUAAAUUGCUUGAUCGUCAAUGCAUCUUUUGCGCCGGAUGCCCAUUCCUUUCGGUUGGCCUUGUACAGGUGAUCUUGGUUUCAUAGGUGAUAUUAACGUGCUGACUGAAGAUUUGAGCUGACAAAGGCCCUGGAAACUGCCAACACUUGUACUGAUAGAGUUGUGUAUUAUCUUAGCGAGAGAAACUGUGGAAAUGAUUGUGCAAUUCAUUUGUAGUUGUUUAUAGUUGUAUGUCUGUUGUUCUUCUAUGAUUUUUGCACUUGAAAUUAACGGUGAACUCGGACUCUGGCUGCCACCCAAAAUUUUGAACUUAAAUUGAAUCCUUGGGAUACCAUGUGAUCAGAUUGAAAUUUA